UUUUUAUUUCUUUUUUUAGUGAAACUGAAACACAUUGAAGAUUCAAUUGACAAUAUUGUUAAGAAGAAAUUGGAUGAAAUACAAAAAACAAAUAUUGCGAUGAACGCAAAAGUUUUAGCAUUUAUGAACCAGCUUUCAAAAAAUAUGGCCGAUCCCGAAAUAAUGUUACCAAUAAAGAAUGAGGAGGAGAUAAGUUCAAUGGAUGCUGCAAUAAAGGAGACUCCUCAAAAAUAUAAUAAAUUGUUUCAAUCUACUUUACAAGGUGGAAUUUCUUCAAAUAUGGAAAGGGUUUUCUCCAAGGAUCUUAU
rnacentral:sRNA from 1 species